AGGCAGCAGUGGGGAAUAUUGGACAAUGGGCGCAAGCCUGAUCUAGCCAUGCCGCGUGUGUGAAGAAGCCUUUUGGUUGUAAAGCACUUUAAGCGAGGAGGAGGGUAACCUAGCUAAUAUCUAGGAUUAUCGGACGUUACUCGCAGAAUAAGCACCGGCUAACUCUGUGCCAGCAGCCGCGGUAAUACAGAGGGUGCGAGCGUUAAUCGGAAUUACUGGGCGUAAAGCGCGCGUAGGCGGUUUGUUAAGUCGGAUGUGAAAUCCCCGGGCUCAACCUGGGAACUGCAUUCGAUACUGGCAAGCUAGAGUAUGGGAGAGGAUGGUAGAAUUCCAGGUGUAGCGGUGAAAUGCGUAGAGAUCUGGAGGAAUACCGAUGGCGAAGGCAGCCAUCUGGCCUAAUACUGACGCUGAGGUGCGAAAGCAUGGGGAGCAAACAGGAUUAGAUACCCUGGUAGUCCAUGCCGUAAACGAUGUCAACUAGCCGUUGGGGACCUUGAGUCUUUAGUGGCGCAGCUAACGCGAUAAGUUGACCGCCUGGGGAGUACGGCCGCAAGGUUAAAACUCAAAUGAAUUGACGGGGGC
rnacentral:rRNA from 1 species